GUCCGUGAUUAUACAGAUGUGGAAACGCCUUGCUCCAUCCCGAACCAAGAAGCUAAGCACAUCGUGGGUGAUGAUACUACGCCUUAC
rnacentral:rRNA from 1 species